rnacentral:lncRNA from 1 species
CCUGUAAGCCAGUUUACAAUUCAGUGACUGUUGAUGUGAACUGUGAGAAUGCCACUGCAUUGUUCAGCUGGGCUUGGAGCAGUGGAGCGGCAUCCUAUGAAAUCACUGCUAUCAGUAACAAUGGCUACAUUGCCUCCUGUAUCUCUCAAGAGAAUUUCUGUAAUAUCAGCAAACUGGCCUGCGGACAGACUUAUACGGUCAGGCUCACAGCAAUCAAUGAUGAAUGUCAAAUUACCCAGGAAACAGGAGUGACCUUCCAAACACGCCCCUGUGCUCCCUUGUUUGUGAACGUGGACCUUCAGUGCAAGCCAAGCACAGCCAUAGUAACUUGGGAACAAAGGGACGAUGUGCUAUACUACCUUGUUAGCGCCACCCUCAGCACAGGAGAAGCAGAUACAUCCUGUAACUCUACAACUGACAAUUGUGAAAUGAGUGGGUUGCAGUGUGGAGUGGAGUAUGCCUUCACCGUCACUGCCUACAGUAGCCACUGCCAUAGUGACGUCAGCAGCACUGUACACAUUACAACAGAACCUUGUCAGCCAACUCAACCGACAGUUUCAGGAUCAUGUGAUAACAACACGGUUGUCUUAAACUGGAGUCACAGCAAAGGUGCAUCAAGUUACACAGUGCACAUAGCAAGCAACCUAGGAUACGGCGACUCCUUCCAGACAUCUGAAUCUACACUAACAGUGGAGCUUCUUUGUGGACAGACCUACACCUUCACAACACUGGGGGAAAAUGAUGUCUGUGACAGCAUACCAAGCACUCCCGCACAUUUUACCACUGCCCCAUGUGUGCCAUACCACAUUGAGACCUAUGCAGAGUGUGAGAAUAACCUUGGAGCUGUCAGCUGGGCUGGCAGUGAUGGCGCAGAUAUUUACACCGCCAUUGCCAUAGGACAGGAUAACCACACGCAUGUCUGCAUAACAAAUACAACUUACUGUAUCUGGGAGGAACUGCACUGUGGAGAAAUUUACUUUGUCCAAGUCAUCGCCAAUGACCAAAUCUGCAACAGCGGGCCCAGUGAUGGCACAGUCAUCCACAUGGGUGAGUGUCUAAGAAAAAAUAAGGAAGAAUUCUAUGUAAGACAACAAUA